CAAUCAGCAGCAAGGAAAACUGAAUAAGCUCUCAGAUUGUCUAUUUGCAAACCUCCUGCCAAAGAAACAGUUAUGGAAGAUAUUUGUGGUUUCUUCAAAAUUGUGGCAGUUUCCAUGAACAAUUGUUAGGCUCCAAAGAAAAAUCCGUGAAUGACUGAGACCACAAACUGACCCACAACUUCCCAGGAAUAUAUUGAAUACUUUUAUGGCCUUUGUGAUAACAUACAUUUUACUUUUAUAUGUAUUACAAUAUUAUGUAACUUGAUCAUCAAUUUUUAGUUUAAACAGUAUGUAAACACUCACCAACUAAUCAUCCAAUUAUGUCCUGAUAAUUACAUAGGCAUAAGAAGACCCAAUGGGUGGAAAACACAAGAAAUAAGAGUCUUUCUCAAUUGUUCAAUUUAUGGAAUGCAAUAUCUCAUGAAGUUCAAGUUAUUAUCAUCAUUUCAUAGAAGAAAUUUUCAAACUGAGGAAAUAUGAUGAGUCAGCUCACCUCCACUUUCUAUAAAUGCAUUGGCACUGGGCACCUGGUUAACCAAAUAGAAACACCCAAGAUGGUUAAAAUUCUGAACAGUGCCAAGCUUCAAGCCAAACACUACUACACUUUCGUUGCUCCUG
ensembl:lncRNA